AAUUUAUUUAUCAUAAACAAAAUCGUUUACCAUCUACUUAUCGUAGCGAGAUUUAUAAAAUAACUUAUAGAGAAUAUAACAUAACACAGAUCAUGAUUUCACAUGUAAUUGAUUGAUUGGAACAACAAUUUUAUCCUUUCUCAGCCUACUGGUAUCCAUGGGGGUUCAUAAGGAUGUCCCUACAAUGCCUGAACCCUUUCCUUUAACAUUUUCAAAUAACGGGCCGUCCCCAUAUCCCGUUUGAUAUGAGCGCCAAACUAGUAAACUAAACCUCAAUACCCCGUCUGGUAUGAGGGUGAAACGGGCCGUCCCCAUACCCCUCUCCGUAUGAGUGCCAAGUUACCAAGCCUUGAUACCCUGUUCGGUAUGAGGCAACAUUCAUGGUAGGAUUUCUUAUAUACCCGGUCCAUCCACAAUCUCCCAAGAUAUCCAGUAACGCUGCCGUUUCAUCCAUUCACUUAAUCACGCAAAUUUUCAUUUUUCUUUAAUCUCUUUUUUUUCCAAUUCAACCGUAAACACAUAAAACAAACAAUACAUGCAUUCAAAACUAUAAAAUCGAUCAAUUAGAUACUAUCAUGCAUUCAAACUAUAAAAUCCACCAACAGAAUCAACAGUGAAUAAUUUCUAAUUCU
rnacentral:lncRNA from 1 species